rnacentral:rRNA from 1 species
AUUGAACGCUGGCGGCAGGCCUAACACAUGCAAGUCGAGCGGAUGAAGGGAGCUUGCUCCUGGAUUCAGCGGCGGACGGGUGAGUAAUGCCUAGGAAUCUGCCUGGUAGUGGGGGAUAACGUCCGGAAACGGGCGCUAACACCGCAUACGUCCUGAGGGAGAAAGUGGGGGAUCUUCGGACCUCACGCUAUCAGAUGAGCCUAGGUCGGAUUAGCUAGUUGGUGGGGUAAAGGCAUACCAAGGCGACGAUCCGUAACUGGUCUGAGAGGAUGAUCAGUCACACUGGAACUGAGACACGGUCCAGACUCCUACGAGAGGCAGCAGUGGGGAAUAUUGGACAAUGGGCGAAAGCCUGAUCCAGCCAUGCCGCGUGUGUGAAGAAGGUCUUCGGAUUGUAAAGCACUUUAAGUUGGGAGGAAGGGCAGUAAGUUAAUACCUUGCUGUUUUGACGUUACCAACAGAAUAAGCACCGGCUAACUUCGUG